GUAGGUGGCAAGCGUUGUCCGGAAUUAUUGGGCGUAAAGCGCGCGCAGGUGGGUUCUUUAAGUCUGAUGUGAAAGCCCCCGGGCUCAACCGGGGAGGGCCAUUGGAAACUGGGGAACUUGAGUGCAGGAGAGGAAAGUGGAAUUCCACGUGUAGCGGUGAAAUGCGUAGAUAUGUGGAGGAACACCAGUGGCGAAGGCGACUUUCUGGCCUGUAACUGACACUGUGGCGCGAAAGCGUGGGGAGCAAACAGGAUUAGAUACCCUGGUAGUCCACGCCGUAAACGAUGAGUGCUAAGUGUUGGGGGGUUUCCGCCCCUCAGUGCUGCAGCUAACGCAUUAAGCACUCCGCCUGGGGAGUACGGUCGCAAGACUG
rnacentral:rRNA from 1 species